GGUGUUGUGGCUCAGUGGUAGAGAGCUCGCCCAGCAUGCGUGAGGCCCUGGGUUCGAUUCUUAGCACCACAA
rnacentral:tRNA from 1 species